AGAGCGAACGCUGGCGGCAGGCCUAAUACAUGCAAGUCGAACGCACCUUCGGGUGAGUGGCGGACGGGUGAGUAACACGUGGGAACGUGCCUUUUGGUUCGGAAUAAUCCGGGGAAACCUGGCCUAAUACCGGAUGUGCCCUUCGGGGGAAAGAUUUAUCGCCAUUAGAGCGGCCCGCGUCUGAUUAGCUUGUUGGUGGGGUAAUGGCCCACCAAGGCUACGAUCAGUAGCUGGUCUGAGAGGAUGAUCAGCCACACCGGGACUGAGACACGGCCCAGACUCCUACGGGAGGCAGCAGUAGGGAAUCUUCCACAAUGGACGAAAGUCUGAUGGAGCAAUGCCGCGUGAGUGAAGAAGGUUUUCGGAUCGUAAAGCUCUGUUGUAAGGGAAGAACAAGUAUGGGAGUAACUGCCCGUACUUGACGGUACCUUAUUAGAAAGCCACGGCUAACUACGUGCCAGCAGCCGC
rnacentral:rRNA from 1 species